rnacentral:rRNA from 1 species
CAGUAGCCGCGGGAAUACGUAGGUGGCGAGCGUUGUCCGGAUCUAUUGGGCGUAAAGGGAGUGUAGGCGGUCUUUUAAGUCUGAUGUGAAAGCCCACGGCUCAACCGUGGAGGGUCAUUGGAAACUGGGAGACUUGAGUGCAGAAGAGGAGAGCGGAAUUCCAUGUGUAGCGGUGAAAUGCGUAGAUAUAUGGAGGAACACCAGUGGCGAAGGCGGCUCUCUGGUCUGUAACUGACGCUGAGGCUCGAAAGCGUGGGGAGCAAACAGGAUUAGAUACCCCCGUAGUCCCUGUCUCUUAUAC